rnacentral:rRNA from 1 species
AACGAACGCUGGCGGCAUGCCUAACACAUGCAAGUCGAACGAGAUCUUCGGGUCUAGUGGCGCACGGGUGCGUAACGCGUGGGAAUCUGCCCUUUGGUUCGGAAUAACAGUUGGAAACGACUGGUAAUACCGGAUGAUGACGAAAGUCCAAAGAUUUAUCGCCAGAGGAUGAGCCAGCGUAGGAUUAGAUAGUUGGUGAGGUAAUGGCUCACCAAGGCGACGAUCAGUAUCUGGUUUGAGAGGAUGAUCAGACACACUGGAACUGAGACACGGUCCAGACUCCUACGGGAGGCAGCAGUGGGGAAUUUUCCGCAAUGGGCGAAAGCCUGACGGAGCAAUACCGCGUGAGGGAUGAAGGCCUAUGGGUUGUAAACCUCUUUUUUCAGGGAGGAAUCAAUGACGUGUACCUGAAGAAUAAGCAUCGGCUAACUCCGUGCCAGCAGCCGCAGUAACAC